rnacentral:rRNA from 1 species
UACGAAGGGUGCAAGCGUUACUCGGAAUUACUGGGCGUAAAGCGUGCGUAGGUGGUCUGUUAAGUCUGAUGUGAAAGCCCUGGGCUCAACCUGGGAAUUGCAUUGGAUACUGGCAGGCUAGAGUGCGGUAGAGGGCAGUGGAAUUCCCGGUGUAGCAGUGAAAUGCGUAGAGAUCGGGAGGAACAUCUGUGGCGAAGGCGACUGCCUGGACCAGCACUGACACUGAGGCACGAAAGCGUGGGGAGCAAACAGG